rnacentral:lncRNA from 1 species
AUAUAUACAUAGUUCGAUCAGCUGACUAUAUAUCGAUAGCAUGGAGGCAUCCGUAUUACUAAGUUGUUUUCCAUGAUAUAGCUUUUAAAUCGACAAUCGAUUCCGUUAAAUUUGAUAUACACUAUUGAAAGUAUUUGAAAACUAAACUUCGUAAUAUUUCAACAUUAUUUACGUAUCAAACGAGCAGUCUAAAAAUGAACAGUUGAAAAUAAAAAUCUCAUAAAAAAUAAUGAUAAAAGACUUGAAUUUAAGAUCAGAAAUACUGAUCUUACUCUAAAUAGUGAAAAAAAAAAAUUAUAAAAAAUUUAUCAGAUUUGAAUUGUUUUACACCAUUAAAUUCACAAACGUAGCCCAAUGACCAUUAAAAUUAUCAAUUUUGAGACAUUUUGAUCACUAACCAAAUAAUAUUAAAAAAUUAUAAAAUUUAAUUUUCAAAUAUUUUUAAUAGUGUAGAUCAAGUCUACGAAGUCAAUCAUCGAUUUACAAGCCGCAUCAUUGAAAACAACUUGCCAGUAUAGAGACCUACAUGCUACUGAUAGUAUACCAGCCUAACUCUCUCUCUCUCUACAUAUAUAUAUAUAUAUAU